rnacentral:rRNA from 1 species
GGGGAAUAUUGCACAAUGGGGGAAACCCUGACGCAGCGACGCCGCGUGAAGGAAGAAGUAUCUCGGUAUGUAAACUUCUAUCAGCAGGGAAGAAAAUGACGGUACCUGACUAAGAAGCCCCGGCUAACUACGUGCCAGCAGCCGCGGUAAUACGUAGGGGGCAAGCGUUAUCCGGAUUUACUGGGUGUAAAGGGAGCGUAGACGGAGCAGCAAGUCUGAUGUGAAAGGCGGGGGCUCAACCCCCGGACUGCAUUGGAAACUGUUGAUCUUGAGUACCGGAGAGGUAAGCGGAAUUCCUAGUGUAGCGGUGAAAUGCGUAGAUAUUAGGAGGAACACCAGUGGCGAAGGCGGCUUACUGAACGGUAACUGACGUUGAGGCUCGAAAGCGUGGGGAGCAAAC